CCAAUGCAUGCUUUUACAGUAUGAAAAUUGGUGAUUUAUAAUAACUUAGCAAAUCGCAAAGUGAAAACAGGCGAUAAAUCAUUCAAGUUUCUGACCUAUCAGCUUUCGACGGUAUGGUAUUGGCUUACCGUGGCAGUGACGGUUAACGGGGGAUUAGGGUUCGAUUCCGGAGAGGGAGCCUGAGAAACGGCUACCACAUCUAAGGAAGGCAGCAGGCGCGCAAAUUACCCAAUUCUAACAGUUUGAGAGAGGUAGUAACAAGAAAUAACAAUACAAGGCAGUUAAAAUGCUUUGUAAUUGGAAUGAUAGAAAUUUAAACCCUUUUUAAAGUAUCAAUUGGAGGGCAAGUCUGGUGCCAGCAGCCGCGGUAAUUCCAGCUCCAAUAGCGUAUAUUAAAAUUGUUGCAGUUAAAAAGCUCGUAGUUGAAGUUCUGCUAAAAGUAACCGGUCUGCUUUUAAUAAAGGUGGUAUCUUGGUGUGUAUUUAGCAAUGAUGUCCUUUGAAGUGUUUUUUACUUUAUUGUAAUAAAGCAUAUUCAGGACUUUUACUUUGAGAAAAUUAGAGUGUUUCUAGCAGGCUAACGCUUUGAAUACUGC
rnacentral:rRNA from 1 species